rnacentral:lncRNA from 1 species
CCAAUUUAAUUUUUCAUAGAAAAUAGAGAUAAAUAAUAAGAGAGAGAAAGAAAGAUAAAUGUAAUAUAAUCAAUAGAAAAAAAUAUGUUCAUAGAAGGUUAAAGGAAAGAGAGAUUGAAAAAUAAAAUACCUCAAAAUCUCGUGAUUAAUGUGAAACAAAUUUUAAGAUUUUAUGUGAGUACUUCUGCUUAAAGGUUAAUACUCUAGAGACUUUUAUAAAAGUCCCUAGAAGUCAUUAAAAUUUGAAUACCCCAAGACUUAUAGAGAUUUCUAAAAAAUUUUAAUUGAAUAUACCGUAACAGUUUUUAAAAGUCUAUAAAAGCCUCAAUUGAAUACCUCUAAACUUACAAGGUUUUUUUUUUUUUGUCAUGCUACUUUAAACCAUUUUGUUAAAAUAAUUAGAAUUAAUUUGAGUAGUCCGUGAUCUUUUAUACCAGGCAAAACUAAAGUAAGCGAAAGUAGGCUAUGAAUUAUUGAAUAAAUGAUGUAAAACACUAAUAGGAAAAAACAAGAGGCUACAAAAAUGACACAAAAACAACAAUUGAAGUUCUCAUCCUUAGAACUUUAAACUAAUGUAAUCGGGUGCCUAACACGAACAACUUUAAUCUAACAAGUAACUAGCUAAAAUGUGCCGAGUUGAGUAAUUAACUCUUUAUUUAAUCUCCUAAGACAUUCACAACCUAAUAUAAAAGAAAAUCAUUAAAUCAUUGCUUAUAUUUAGUUAAGAAUACAUUUGUGACGAAAAGUUCAAUACAAUUAAUACCAAAUGUUCAUAUGAAGAACUGAAAAUAGAUAAGAAAAUAGACAAGUAAGUUCAUUUGAACUAACACACGAAUAUCUUUCACGUUUAUGAAUGGAUUUUUCUAAAACUUACAUACAUUUAUUUUUAACAUUAACCAAUUAAUGUGCAAGGCACGUUAACCACACUAGUAGACAUAAAUAAGUGUACAUAUUUUACACUAUUGUAUAUCUUUCUGCAGUCCUAGAAUCUAACUGUCUUUCUGCUGAAAAAUCUCAACUUUCUUGAUGGAAACUACUGGGUUUUCUUCUCCGAGACCAGAUGCUUUUCCGACACGUCUUAGGGUUCUUGUUGUUGAUGAUGAUCCCACCUGGUUGAAGAUUCUUGAGAAGAUGCUCAAGAAGUGUUCGUAUCAAGGUUCUCUUAGAAUAAAUUUAUCAAUUUUUUUUAGUGAUUCUAAUAUUAUUUUUAUUGCAUGGUUUAUCAGUGCAAUUAUCUUCUUUUUUCAUGUGGUCAAUUAUCUUCUUGACAUAUUAGUUCAUAGUUAAUUUUCACUUUUUUGUUCUUUUGAUUUUUGGAGGGAUUUUAUUUUUGUGUUAUACAGAGGUUUUGAGUUGGUUUGUGGGACAUUUUAUCUGAGAUUUUUAUUUUUUUUAUGUUUGGUAUUUUGCAAGAAAAAUAUGCUAAAAUCUUAUUUAUUAUAUUGUCUUGUCCUAUCCAGUACUAUAUACUGAAAAACAGUUCACAUACUAAUUUUUUGUGAGAGCUUGAAGUCUGCAACUAUGACUUGCUUGGUUUUGGAAUUGAAUUUUCAUUUUUUUCCCCUUUUUUUUAUGUGUUUUCGCUCAAAAGUUAUAUAUCUUGGUUAUAGUAUGAUGGUUCCUGGUGAAGUUCAGUGAUGAGAUAUAAAGUUUUGAGUUUAAUCCUUGUGCAAUUGUGUAAUGAUACCAAAUGUAUGCCUUAUUGAUUUGUUGAUUUAAUUUGAAAAAGAAAGUUUCCAUAUCUCUUUCCAAUUUUGUCUCGAUUAGUUCACAAUAUUGAAUAACAGAUUUUUCCAUUCGGUUUCCUUUUUCCUUUAGUUUCACAAUUUUGUUCCCUUUUUUGUCAACCCUAAGCUCACCCGCUCCCUCAACUUCUAAUGUACAGAAUCUCGAACUGGAAUUCUGUACAACCCAGCAGUGACCACCCAGAAGUCAAAGCACCGCCGACGAGGACCACCGAUUUUUUGACACGGUUUGCCUUUUCCUUUAGUUUCGAAUUUUUUUUUUUAGUUUUCUAUAUUUUUUCGUUCAGUCAAUCACAAAUUAAAGAGGACAAUGUUGCAAGUUGAUAUUCAUGUUCCGAACUAAGAGGAAAUAUUUGUUGUUGCUUUUGACAGUGAAAAGAUACUCAAUAUCUAGUGCCACUAUUCUUUUCAAGUUUCACUGCGCGUAAUGAAUAUCCAAGGUUUACGCUUUUGUCUUCUCUCUGUCCAAUUCUAAAUUCUGUUUUUGGCGAGAAAUAAAAAAACUUAACCGAAUUAUGGGGAAGAUAACGAGGUUGAUUACUGGUGGGGUGCAGUACAAUGAAGUGGGUGUUGGUUUAUGUGAAUUUUUUUUUUGUUAUGAGACAUUGGAUGCACAAUCUUCUCUCCUGUCCAAUUCCAAAAUUCAAUUGUUGUGUUAUGAGACAUUGGAUUGGUUUCCUAAUUAAUUAAUGGUAUAUUUUAUCACGUGAUUGUGAAUUUCUGAGACGAGCAAGAUUGAACUUGGGAAAAAAGAUGAUGCAGUUUCUACACUUGUGUCUUUUGACUUUUCUCCUAUCCAAUUCCAAAUUCAUUUUUGGCGUUACGAGACAUUGUAUGCAUAAUGUUAACCUCUGUCGAAAGUCCUAUUCCGAAUAGAGGUAUUGUGUGAAGAUACAUAAGCUGUCUUUUCUUAUUAAUUAAUGAUUGUUGUUAUCAUCUUAUCGUACAUUUGUGAGGCUUGUACGACUGAACUUAGGCAAAAAAAUAUGAUGCUGAUUCUUAGGAAGUGUUGAGGAUCUUGGGAGCAGUGUAUUAGUGUAUAACAAAAAGAUGUAUUAUCACAUCAUAGUUGAAUAUUCAAAAUCCAGUUCAGCGAAGCAUGUUUUGAUUAUUGGUACUUAGAGUGAGUGCUUGAAGAUCAGCUGUGUUGGAUAAAGAGAGGGAGAGUGUAUUUUUAAUGAAUUUGGGUAGCAUGGUUUUUGUUUAAUGGUUCAAUCCACUCUAUUAUGUUAUAUUGACUUGAGUUUCGCUUCACCCGCUUGAAUAAUCCUAUACUCGUAUGUUAUGUGGUGUACUAGGGAAUAUAACAAUUUAACACAUAUGCUAUGCAGAUUUGUAAAUCAUAGGACGUGCUUAUCAUUUUUGUCAGAAUUGUAAUCGUAUCUGCUCCUAAUAAAGAUAAAAAUUUACACAAUCUUAAUUCGAAUGUUUUGAUGCUAUGAAGUUGUCAUUAUUGGUGAUAUUGCUCAAUAUUAAGAGAAUUUUGUAGUUGAAUGGAACUUUCAUUUAUUUAAUACUCCUCACUUAUCUUUCUAGCUUCAUCACUUUCGAAUGUUAUAUGUCAGACUUUUCAUUGUUUAAGGCUUACAUUUUAUCUUGUUUUCAUACAACGCAGACAUUGAAAUCAUGUCCAAUACCAUGUUGGAACCAAUCGAUGUCCCUGUCAAAGAAAGAGCGACGUUGACAAUGUUCCACUUUGGUUGACUGUGGAGAAUGCAUGGAGGUACAUUUUAUUUUAUAUUAUUGUAUAUUUAUUUUUUGGGAAAUGUUGGUUAUGUUCAAGUGGCAUUCACUGUCAAAGAAACUGUGUGGAUUUAAUACAGACAAUGUUGGUACGGAAAUUAUUUUUUGCCCACUUUGUAAGUUUCUUGCUUUUUGAACUCAUUCGACUUAGAGGUUAAAACCAGUAUCCAAUUGAAAAAUAAAAAUUGGUGCUUUUUAUAAGUUUCUUACUUUCGAAAAAUAAGAAAAUUGGUAUAUUUUAUAAGUUUAUCGCUUUCGAAAAUAUGAAAAUUAUAAGUUUGACCAAUAUCUGGAUCGUAGUCUAUAAAUGGAAAUUAUAGAGAUUAUAAGUUUCUUGCUUUCGGAAAAAUGAAAAUUAGUGCAUUUUAUAAGUUUCUCAUUUAAAACACCAAUAAGGAAAUGAUAGUGAAUGUCUAACCAAUACAAGUAUACUUUGUGGUUCAAUGCAUCAUACCAAUUGUCUAUCAAAUUAAAUUUGAGAUAUGAUGAAAAUAAGUUGGUAGUUGGAAACUAAUUAACUUUAAUUAACCAUCUUCCAGCAAGUUCAUUAUAAAUAGUAGUGCAUGAGUUCAUGUUCAUAAUCCAUCCCUUGAAAGACUAGAGAAGUUUUUGUGAUACUCUCAUAUUGAAACAGUUAAUUGAUAUGAGAUAAUGGAUUCAUCCACCUCCAGCAACGAACCAUUCAACCCCAAUAUGAAUUCGCCGAUACUGGGUUCGGUCGCUGAAUUUUGCAUCGUUUUAUCCUCAGACGAUGAGGAGGUAAGCGUUGAGCACCAUGGUGCCAAGUUCGAUGAAGUGUUAAGUACAGAAUUUAGGUCAUCGAAUAGCAUGCUCGAUCAAGUCUUCGAGGUCAAGGGUCCGAUCAAAUCACCGUCGACUCGGAUGAGUGGUUGGCUCACCUUCCACUUCCAGAAAUAAUUGUCAUAAGCUCAGACAAUUCUGAUAAAGAAAGUGGGAAAGAAGCUUAAAAUGGAGAUAGCAAUGCGAGUGUGCAAUAAAUGACCCUUUUGUAGGAAAUUAUAUAUAGUAUUUUGUGGUAAGGAUAAUUUUGGUCACAUCCGUUGCGUACGUGCAGCAAUAUGUCAAUAAUGGGUAACCGCAAUAGUGUAUUUUUUGGAAGCCGUUAUUGUUCUUAACUGUCGAGAAUUACAGAAACCAUCUGUUG